GAGGCUUUUAGCUUAAAAUACGGCUUGCUUGGAAACCCACUCUUGCCUCUGCAAGCCUGUUUUGCUAAGAAAUUUUCAACUGGGCCUAACCACAUAUCCCCACAAUGGAGCAUAUCCUGACAGAUUGGUCCUCCGCCCAGGAGGGUUGGGAAGAGUUGGGACGUGUCCUUUCCUUGGGUUUGCAGAGGGAACUGGUGGUAGAGGUGGGAAUUGUCCCCAGGCCUCCUGAGACCCAGCUCGGAGCCCUUACUGCCCCCGUCUCUGACCUCGACCUUCAAGAACAUGUGCCAGCAGAAGCAGAAGGAGCUGCUCAAACAGUCUGAGAAGCAGGAGAAGAAGCUGAAAGCAAAGUCCAGAAAACAGGCGGAAAAACAGAGGAAAGAGGCCUUGACCUAGAAGCUGCAGAAAUUCCCCAGGAAGAACCAGGACGAGGAGUCCAAUGAGACCCCGAAGCUGCUGAGGAGGCCCCAGGAGUACAGGCGUGCUCAACAAAAAAAGAAUAUACAACAACAAAGAUAGCAUAUGAAGUUCUUCGAAUUUUUAGAAAACCUGGUAUUUACGGUAAAAAAAGGAUGAUGAUUAACUAUUUUAAUAUGCAGCGCAUCCUGCUAUGUGGCCCCAGCCCCAGUUUUCUUUUCUGGCAUGCCAGCACUGCAGCACCU